rnacentral:rRNA from 1 species
AUUGAACGCUGGCGGCAGGCCUAACACAUGCAAGUCGAGCGGAUGAAGGGAGCUUGCUCCUGGAUUCAGCGGCGGACGGGUGUGUAAUGCCUAGGAAUCUGCCUGGUAGUGGGGGAUAACGUCCGGAAACGGGCGCUAAUACCGCAUACGUCCUGAGGGUGAAAGCGGGGGAUCUUCGGACCUCACGCUAUCAGCUGAGCCUAGGUCGGAUUAGCUAGUUGGUGGGGUAAAGGCCUACCAAGGCGACGAUCCGUAACUGGUCUGAGAGGAUGAUCAGUCACACUGGGACUGAGACACGGUCCAGACUCCUACGGGAGGCAGCAGUGGGGAAUAUUGGACAAUGAGCGAAAGCCUGAUCCAGACAUGCCGCGUGUGUGAAGAAGGUCUUCGGAUUGUAAAGCACUUUAAGUUGGGAGGAAGGGCAGUAAGUGAAUACCUUGCUGUUUUGACGUUACCAACAGAAUAAGCACCGGCUAACUUCGUG